GAAACAAAAUGCUCUUUUAGUAAUUUUCUAGCAGGAUUUCUAUAAAAGAAGUCCCAC
rnacentral:snRNA from 1 species